AUGGGCAAGAGAGGCUGGCUUCAGGUGGCAAAUGUUAAGCAAAAGAAACACACAAGGGCGUGGAGACCUGGGGAAAAAGCAACACGGAGAAAUCUACCCUCUAGAACUGAGAAAGAAGCGCAACAGAGGCUAGCUCAGGGGGGAGGAAAGUCUAGGGCAAUAAGGAAAAUGUCAAAAAAAAUAGAAUUAAAUGACUUUUCACUUUCAUUAUGUGCUCUGGAAAGAAGAGCCAUCACAUAAGCUUAUGGUUUAAAUUUCCAUGCACAUAAAGCAGUGUUCACCCAUGGCAUCAACAAACAUCCACCAAGCAUUCACCAUUUGCCUGGCCUUGAGCUAAGUGGUGGGGGUUCAGUCUGAAAAGACCUGUGGAGAGGAGAUGGAGAGAGGAGCUAGGGAGACAAGGUGAGGCACUAUGAGAAAUGAAGACGCCACUGAAAAAAGUCCCCACGGUGUCAAGGCCAAAGGACUUUUUCAGAAAAAGGAUUUGUGGCAUUCAAUUUGAAACUGCCUUGCUCUAGCAUAAUGUACUCCUCUGCCCUGGCCCAAAUGAGCAAUCAAGUUUACUGCUUUCAUCAAUUCUUUGCAUCAUUUUAUUUGUUUAGCUGGUUAGUUCUUGGUGGAGGUUAGCUUUUGAUUCUUGGCUGGGGAUUGAGGAAAUAGCUGUGGACGGGAAAAACCAGGAUAUGCAAGUUGGUGAGAUGAUCCAUAAACUGAACUAAUUCAUAGAUUCAUGAGUUUACAACAGAGACAGCCAUGAGGAUAUAAACAUCUCAGAAAGUACAUCUGUCUGGGGACGAAGGGGUCGGCUUUGGACUCCCACAAAGCAUUGGUAGUUCUAAUCAAUCUUAUCUAGAUUUCAAAAGACAAGAACUAUGAGUGACAUGUGGAUUAUUCAGAAAACACCAAGUAAUUAUAGCCCUAAUUAUACCCAAUGGCUAAAAUCCAUAUAAUUAUAACUAUAACCCAUGCGCUAUGAUCUACAGUGCUUCCUAUUUAGCCUUAUAUUUUAGCUUGACUUUCCCGAAAAGCAGAGCCUAGGACAAGGGUUUGCCUGUGGGUAGUUUCUUUAGGAUGGAAGCCCGGGGAACUGGAAUAGGAGCACUGGGAAGAAUAAAGUUGGGAAAGCAGUAAAUCUACCCCA
rnacentral:lncRNA from 1 species